rnacentral:lncRNA from 1 species
CUUACUUUUCUGCUAGUUAUUCUCUGGUGUUCCUUUUGUCCAUAUGUCUUUCAAAUUCUGGGUAACAAAUUAUUGUUUUUGCAGUAUGGACAGAAGGGUACUAUUGCUUCUAGUCGCGCUCAGCAGCUGCUGGUGUUGUAAUGCUAGAGACCUGACAGGUAAUUUAGUUGGUGAGAACAUUGAAAUUGUUAAGGUUUAGCUAACGAGGCAAUUUUGGUUCGUUUUCUUGGAAAAAGGAUUACUUUGAAAUAUUGGUUGAUCUUGCCAUAUAGUAUUAGUGAGCUCAAUUUAAUGAGACAAGUGGAUUUAGUUUUAUGCCUCUCCAUCUCCUUUGAAGCUUUGGUGCACGUAAAAAAGCUAAAAAAUAUGUGCUCCACUUUGUAGAAACUCUAAAAACUAUAAAAAGGAUAGUUUUUUUUUAUCAUUCAAUACUUUAAAUCCCUGUAGUAAAUCACACUAGCAAGAAUCCUCCUCCCAAAACAAGUUUCGCUAGCUGAUAACGACAUUUGUUUUCCUUUCAAAUGCAUGCUUCGUUCAAUUUCUACUACCUGUUGGUUUCUUUCUGAAGCUAAAAUAUCUGAUUUAGAUCGUUUAGAAAGAGAUUCUAGCAAGUACUAUACUAAUGCUGGUCCUAUGUUGGCAGUCCUGCAGUCGAAUGACAAGGGAGAAGCUCUAUAUGUGCAAGAAGUUACCAAGAAUGAAGAUUUCUGUGCAUUGUGUUGAGAGUUUGCUUCUGAGGCUCUUAGUUACCUUACACUAAAUAAAACCCAAGCAGAGAUCAUUACCAUUCUUCACAAAUCCUGCUCUAAG